rnacentral:rRNA from 1 species
AAACUGCCUGAUGGAGGGGGAUAACUACUGGAAACGGUAGCUAAUACCGCAUAACGUCGCAAGACCAAAGAGGGGGACCUUCGGGCCUCUUGCCAUCGGAUGUGCCCAGAUGGGAUUAGCUAGUAGGUGGGGUAACGGCUCACCUAGGCGACGAUCCCUAGCUGGUCUGAGAGGAUGACCAGCCACACUGGAACUGAGACACGGUCCAGACUCCUACGGGAGGCAGCAGUGGGGAAUAUUGCACAAUGGGCGCAAGCCUGAUGCAGCCAUGCCGCGUGUAUGAAGAAGGCCUUCGGGUUGUAAAGUACUUUCAGCGGGGAGGAAGGGAGUAAAGUUAAUACCUUUGCUCAUUGACGUUACCCGCAGAAGAAGCACCGGCUAACUCCGUGCCAGCAGCCGCGGUAAUACGGAGGGUGCAAGCGUUAAUCGGAAUUACUGGGCGUAAAGCGCACGCAGGCGGUUUGUUAAGUCAGAUGUGAAAUCCCCGGGCUCAACCUGGGAACUGCAUCUGAUACUGGCAAGCUUGAGUCUCGUAGAGGGGGGUAGAAUUCCAGGUGUAGCGGUGAAAU